AUGUCUCUAGAGGAUUUGGGUAUUGCUCAACCGGAAAUUUAAUAAAUUAAUGCAUAAGAUUGGGUCAUACUUCUUUUUGGACUAGAACAUCCAGGACUGAACUUUCUUAGGGUCGAGAUGUCUGUUAACCGUUUAUUCGUAUUUACCUGUCAAAGUCUUUUUGACGCUUAAGGUAUAGGAGAAAGUACUUUGACUUCAGAAUGAAUGUGAUUGUCAGAGGGAGAAUGAUGGACCGAAGCAUGCAUUUUGUAAAAUGAUUCUUGUGUUGUUAAAUCUUCGAGAAUCUUGUUGGAGAUGUCUGAUUCGGUUCACGAAACAACUUAGCAUCAUCUAGCAGUAGCAGAUUUCACCGACCCCCUGGACCCAAAGCGCCUUCACAUGUUAAGGGUCAACAACAUAAAUUGACAAGAGAAGAUGUGCAACAUCUUCUGGAAACAGCAAGGAGGCUACGUCAGCUAGACGACGGGAAUGAGCUCUUUUGGUCUACAAUCGUAAACCUGCUCGAAAUUAUUAUUCGGAGUUUUUAAGGGUGCAGAUAUGGUCAUGCAUACUAUUGAAUUUUUCAAAGCUGAAAAAACGACCCUGGAUCCCUUACUACCCAAAGCUUUCAUAGACACUGGCCAUGGACCAUUGACUAUACCCCGAACUUUCAGUACUUCUUGUUUAUCUAUAUAUGUUUUGUAUAACAACACAAUAAAAUAAGAUAGUGUAUA